rnacentral:rRNA from 1 species
UACGUAGGGUGCGAGCGUUAAUCGGAAUUACUGGGCGUAAAGCGUGCGCAGGCGGUUCUAUAAGACAGAUGUGAAAUCCCCGGGCUUAACCUGGGAACUGCGUUUGUGACUGUAGGACUUGAGUGUGGCAGAGGGGGGUGGAAUUCCACGUGUAGCAGUGAAAUGCGUAGAUAUGUGGAGGAACACCAAUGGCGAAGGCAGCCCCCUGGGAUAACACCGACGCUCAUGUACGAAAGCGUGGGUAGCAAACAGGAUUAGAUACCCCU